rnacentral:rRNA from 1 species
GAGCACGUAGGUGGGUUUGUAAGUCAGAUGUGAAAGCCUUCUGUUCAACGGAAGAAUUGCAUCUGAAACUGCGAGUCUUGAGUGUAGGAGGGGAGAAUGGAACUUCUGGUGGAGCGGUGAAAUGCGUAGAUAUCAGAAGGAACGCCGGCGGCGAAAGCGAUUCUCUGGCCUAUUACUGACACUCCGUGUGCGAAAGCUAGGGGAGCAAACGGGAUUAGAUACCCCGGUAGUCCUAGCCGUAAACGAUGGGCACUAAGUAGAGGGGUUUU